AUUUUCCCUUGACCGAGAAGGAGAGGACCUCAUGGUGCUGUGCUAGAAUCUCCUCUACUAGUGACUCCAGCAUUCCUCAAGUGAAUUCAACCUCCAAGUCUCUUUCUCCAGCAUCUUAACUGAGUGUCUUCAUGUCCAACAGCAGUGAGUCGGUGAAGGACGAUGGCAUCUUUUGAACAGGAUUGUGACACACUGGAUGAGCAGGAAGC